rnacentral:tRNA from 1 species
GGAGAGGUGGGUGAGUGGCUGAAACCAGUUGUUUGCUAAACAACCGAACGGGGUAAACCCGUUCCGCGGGUUCAAAUCCCGCCCUCUCCGCCA